rnacentral:lncRNA from 1 species
AGCAGCGGGCAAUGCUCACGACAGAGUUGGGCGUACAUCAUAUAUAUACAUAUGUUGUCGUGUCUUAAUAAAUGGAGAUGAGAUAUCUAUCCGACUGUCAUCCUUCCCAGACUUGGGUUUGUCAUCUCUGUCGGCGUCCACCUGCGCUUCCUUCAUUGGUUGUCAUUUCUUUGUACACUGCUGUAAUUUAGAGAUCAUAAUAUAUUUUCCAUGGAUACAAUUGAAUACGACACCCAAUUUGCUAUAUAAUUGUUCAGCUCUCUCUCAUAGCGAUUCAUACAAAAUAUCAUGCAUAAUGGUCCCAGCUUAAGUAGAAAAUAACCAUUGGAUUGUUCAAACUUUGCUCGUGUUUCGCAGGGCACCAUAACUCUAAUCCGACAUGAGCAGUCCAACCACGACAGUGAGCAGUGGAACCGCAAGAUAGAGAUAGAUACAAGUAGAAUAUAACUGGUCAUAUUUCUAAAAUGAUCACACUACUUAUGGUGCCGGAAGAGAAGGCAUCAGUGAUAGUGGGCUAGGUGAUGAGGGCAUCAAUACAAAGAGAUUAAUUCACAACUUUGUUCUUGAUAGGUUGUACAAAUAUACAAGGUACUACUGUUUCCUUUUAUGUUUAAAUAGCUUUGUGAGUACAACUAUAUGAAAAUUCUGCGAUUCAUGGUGCGGAAGCGGGCAUCUUUGUUUCCCUGACCAAAAAUUCUUAGUUUCAUGCCUCCACGGUAUAAUUUAGAGGCACAGUCCAAUGAGAGAUUCCUACUUAGCUAGCUAAUAUAUAACGUUUGAUGGUACUGUCUUGUGUUGUAAAUACAAGAUAUGCUACAUGAGCAUUACUUUUAUUUUGAAUUUAAUUUUGUGUUUGAGCCUCUUUUACAUAUUAAGUGUAAUAUCACAGACUUUCUUCUUUCAGGGUUAACUGGCCAUGCAAAAACUGUUGUGAGGCAUUAAAUGGUACUAUAUGUUUUUGGCCUGCUUUUGUUCACUUUUGUCCUUUCCAAAGUGUAAUAAGAAAAGAAAGUCAAAAUAGGCUCAACCAUGACUACUCUGCUCUUGUGAUCACCAAUUUCUGCUCCAUUGCGCACAAGAAAGUAGUGACUAUUUAUUUGCUUAAACAAUAUGUCCAACCACCAAUUUCUGCCUGUCCUGCUAAUACUCCUUUAUGGAUGUAUCGCACAAAUUUCAGUUAUUAGAUAUGAAAUGUAGGUUCUCUACACAGAGCUGGGUCCAAUGGUCAAUGCAGCUCUAUGUUGUGCUAUCUUGCUAUUGGGCUCUUUUUUCGUUACUUAAAAUGGACAUAUAUCUCUGAUGUUAAAUUCGUGCUUCAUUGCUUAUAUCCAAAAUAACCAUGUUAGUACACUGAAGCCAAUUUCUACAUUGUUAGUGAAGUUGGCUAAAUAGUUUUUGCGCCACUAAGAUAUAUAUGUGCACUGCAUUCUAACCCUGCAAAUUGUUGUGCUAUUAGUUUAAUCCAAAAUAUAAUUAUGUUUGUGUCUCGACAUAUGCUUGUGAUGCGUCGUGCUACCAGAGGCCAACAUUAUCCAGUAUCAUAGCGACGCUAAAAAUGCCUAUUGGUUACUCCGCAUAUUCUCAUCUGAUUUCUCAUAUAUAGAUAUUAAUUUCCUUUCAUGGGAGGCCUUCAUUACAUUUCAGCGGCAGUUGCGGAUGUGGUCGGCGGUUGAGGGAGGGUCUCCGACUAGAGCAGCAGGAGCAAGGAGCUCAAGGAGGUUCAGGUUUGCCUCUACAUCCUCUCUCUUUCCUCCACUUUGUUCUUGCAUUUAGAGGAUACAACUUGUGAUCAUGUUAUAUUCUGCUUUUGUCAGUUUGCUGGUCCAUAUUAAUUUCCUCGAGCUUAUUUUCACAUCUCGUCAUAUUUACACCUCUCCGCCGACUGCCACCUAUCAUGGAGGGAGAUGGCUUGGCCAGGCCGUCAAGACCCAUCGGCAACUUCCAGCAGGCGUCGUCCCGUACUUCUGCAUGUAAACUGAAUUGAUUUACCAAUAAAAAUCUGGACAACUCAUUCCAGUCGAUAAUAACCAUUGUGGCAUUACCAUGAUAUGUCAUGUAUCUGCUCUGAGUUGCACUAUGUUGCAAAAAGUACAAUAAGAGAUAGAAUGUAUGCACUAUGGCUAGCAGUAACUUUUUUUUGACUUGUACAACAUUUGAUCUAUCUAUUUCUGCAGGAUAUUCCUCUUGUUGCAACCUUUUCCCAUAGAAUCAAAAGGAAUUAGAUUGAAGAAAUUGCAGGAGGUACUACUUCGUGUUCCAUUAGUCUUACUUUUGGAGGCUUGUCUAUAUAUAGUAUUAGUGUCGGUGUGUCAAUAGUAGUAUUAGUUUUGGAGGCUUGUCUAUAUUAGUCUUAUUUUUUGGAUUACGUUUCUUUCCACCUGCAUCCUCUCUUCAUAAUGGAUUACGUUUCUUUGUUAUUGCCAUGUGUUACUUUUUCUUAUGACUGUGACCGUCAGUGCCCUUAACAGUGGUUGUUCUUGCUUUAUGGCUGCCUUCUCAGUGCACUUUUAUUAGUUCUAAUACAUUAAUAUAAUAUGCUCGAUUGACCAUAUUAAUUAUAUAUUUCACUUCACCGGGGCUGUUGGUCGAAGUGUUGGUUAAAAUAUUUUGGUGGCAGUGUAUAAAACUAAUUGUUGUACAGCAUUGUUAAGUGCACUUUUGAGCUUUGAGUAGACAACUAUGGUCAUAAUUACCUUAAAGGAUCGUUAGUAUAUAUUAUUGUCGGAUUUCCAUGUUCAGUUAUUCACACUAUAUUAUUGCUUGAUUCUGAUAGCUUGCUAUUAUUAGAGCAGGAAGGGUAUUCCUGGUGUGACAUUCAAAAGCAGUCAAAACGGUGAGGUUUAGAACGGAGGAGCUCCGUGGAAUUAUGGAUAAAAAAUUAUCCAUAACAUGUCUGUCAUUUCUCAUGUCGACCAAGGUAUGUGACCGAGCAGUGACAGUUGUCUCUAAUUAUCAAUUUUAUAUAGAGUCUUCUUGAUUGAUGAUUUUGUAGCCUUCUCUUAGUUGUACCAUAUUAAUUCUUAAAACUGGAUCAUUUAAAAUUAGUUAGAUUUAAUGAGUUGUUCCACUGUUUCCAAAUAAGUAGUUUAAGCCCUUAUUGUGUUCUGGAGCUUAUUCUUUCUGCCUUUUUAUGAUUGAUAUAUGCUCUCACAAGCUUAAAUGUAACUAUUGACAUAUAAUCUCAUGGCUCAAAGUCAUAGUUGAAUGUAUUAAAAUUUAUAAGAUUUGGAGUUUGCACUAUAAUUUCAUCCAGCGGUAUUCCCAAUAACUGAAUGUUAAGAGCACUGACGAUCCCAGGCUGUACAUUCAUGUACUGGGAAAUGCUUUUAUCUUGCACGCCAGUUUUACAUUUAUUUUUCAAUAACAAGAUGACCAUGAACAGGGUAUCAAGGUAUUUGCCUUGGCAUUACUAAUGUCGUGUUCAGAUUACUAAAAGAAGGAUUGAUAGCGGCAUACCUUAACUCGACUGAUGCUUUAACUACUGCCUCUCUAAGCCUUGAUUAGCCAUGGAGAUACUCAAGUUCCAAAGCCCCAAGUGAGGCUAUCCUUCUAAGAUCCGUUCAUCCCAAUUCAUUAAUUUGUUUGAAAUAUAUAUAUAUGUAUAUUCCAAUAUUGCUCAAUCUCCAGCUGGCCUCUAGGUUAUCAGAUGAAAUCCGGUUAAAUUUUAGGGAGGUUGAGUAGGAGUGUUUGGAACUAAAGGCUUUGUUGUUGUUUGAGUAGGAUUAUCUCCCUUUUCUGUAUAAAUUUUGUUGCUAUGAAUAGUUGCAUUGUUACGUCAAUGAAAAGUUCCUGGGCGUACUAUGUGUUCCUCUAGACUUGGUUGAAAGUAUUCCUUCUGUUAUCCAGUUUCUCACUACGCAUGUUACCUUUGUUGCUGAAUUUUGCCUAUAGUUUAUAUAUAGUAGACUCACAUGAUUACCUGAUGACUCAUUCAUGCAAGAACUAUUGUUAAUUUUUUCCUUUUCUGCAAUGAUGGUCGUAGUCCUUUGAUUCUACCAGCCGCAAAGGAGUGAAUGUAGAAAAUAUGUCCAUUGUCGUUGAAUUGGUGGGAUUGUCACCAAGUUAGUGCCGCAGAUUUCUAUUUUAGAGCAAGAAGCCAAAUCAUGUAGUUUCAUUGUAAAUCUUGAAAAACUUGUUUAUUGUCACUUCUAUAUCUGUUACAAGCUUUUUUUUUCAUGAUGUGGUACUUGUCAAUCUUGGUUUGCCCUUCCAUUUCAAGUCUGCCCUUAAAUUCCAGCAGACCAAAAAGUCCUUGUUUCUUCAAUUGGUUUCUCGUUUCAUGUUUGCACUUCUAUUACAGUACAAUAUUUCAUAAACAUGGCAUUGGUCAUUAUUUGUCCAGUUCCCUUCAAAAAAAGAAGAGAUGGCUAUAGAGAGUUGAUCCUUCUACAUAACAGAGCAGAGGAGUGGGAACUAUAAACAUGCCUCACUGAAGAGAUGAAAAAUGUUGUGCAAGGCAUUGGUUGUUAAGCUCCUUUAAAAAUGAAGGAAUUAUAGUGCAUCUGACCUAUAAAGGGGUUGUGAGGGACAAAACGCUAUGGAUUCAGAGUAGUGGGAGGGCACAGUUUACCAACGACGCAAGGACAAAGCGUGACCUUGAUUCCAAAGUUCCAGCUCACAUAGCAGAAUUGUAUAGAGAGGAUGCCUGCAUUUUGAAAACUCUGUUACAUAGUUUGAGGCUAUGUUUCUUUCAAUUUUCAUUAUUAAAAGGAUCCUUAUUAUUGCCAAAUUGUCAAUUAUUUUCAAAUAGCUCUUGGUUUGAAAUGGGACCAUGUGCCAUCUAGCGCAAUGGGUACUGUUAUUAUACAUUCUAUUAUUGACAACAAG